GUUAGUCCUUGUGUAUAUAUACCUGGUGUUUCUGUCUUGUCUUUGUUGGGUUAUUGUAUGCUGUCCCCCUGUGUUGCAGUGUGUUCUUGUGUCGGCAGCCUCACUUGUUGUGUUUCCCUGCUUGUUAUUGGAUGUUGGAUUUCUGUUGGGCAACCUUUGUUUUUGGACUCUGUCAUCAGCCACUCAGUUUGCUCCUUUAACCACCCAGGACAGCGUACUUGGCAUGCUCAGUGUGAUGUCAUCACUCAGCAACAAAGAUUGUGGGAUGCUUGUGGACUGGCAAGGAAACACUAUCCCCUGGUAGCAACCACACCAGACCUACCGACUAAACACAGCAACAGCCACCUUUGUUUGACAUCUGAGAGUCAAAUUAAAAGCUUUUUAGCAACAUGUUGUCUCUAACUUCUCAUUGGACAAUUUGGCUGAAAAACAUGCUAGUCACAUUUUGAAAUGGAUAUUUUAUACCAUUUAUUUAAACAUAUCCUAGCAUAAUAUUUACAUUUACUCAUUUGGCAGACUACUUGAUUUUAUGUUCAGUGGUUAUAUCCAUUAUAAACACAACUGCCAAUGUGUCUUUGUUUUCCUCAUUUAAAAACUAAAUGUUGCAUUACAUCUGACUUUCACAUCUUGGUACAUUAACAGAAAGGUUCUGAUUUUUUGAAGUCCACCUUAAAGCAACAUUAUGUAAGAUUUGUUUUUUGUGUGAUGUGGCAUCCCUACCUCAGAGUGUAAUUCACUCCUGUAAUAAAGAUCCUUAGGAGCUUCUAAGGAGCUGUACACGUGCA